CGCGCCGCGGCGGCGGGGCGGGGGGAAGUAGAGGCCGGCGGGGGUGGGGAUCGGGAAGCGCAGGAGCAGAGGCAUCCGCCGCGCGCCCCGCGAGCUGGUGGGGGGAGGAGGAGGAAAACUUGAGAGCCCUGGAAUGGGAGGGGGCGCGGUGGCACGGGCGGGGGGAGGGUGCAACUUCGGGACUGGUAAAACUUUAAUUACCUUGAAAGAAAAAAAAAAGGCCCUAUGAUUUUAACCCCCGGUUCUGGUUAGAGCCCGGCCCACAGCGCGACCGUGAGAGAAAGUUUAAAAGCGGGCGGUUUCCUCUCCGCCUUCCCCGCGCAGGGUUGGGGGUGUCUGUCUGUCCGUCUGCGCUCGGAGAGAGGUAGGGGUAACGAGCCGCACUCCCGGGUCGCGUGGACCGACUCUUGCCCCACCCUUCCACGGGGAGACGAAGUGCUAGAUUCUUAAAAGAAGUCUUUGGGGUGCACAGCAAUUGUGAAGAUC
rnacentral:lncRNA from 1 species